rnacentral:rRNA from 1 species
GAUGAACGCUGGCGGCGUGCUUAACACAUGCAAGUCGAACGGUGAAAGUGGAGCUUGCUCCGCUGGAUCAGUGGCGAACGGGUGAGUAACACGUGGGCAACCUGCCCCUGACUUCGGGAUAACUCCUCGAAAGAGGUGCUAAUACCGGAUACGAAUCCUGCAGGCAUCUGCGGGAUUGGAAAGGUUUUCGGCCAGGGAUGGGCCCGCGGCCUAUCAGCUUGUUGGUGAGGUAGUGGCUCACCACGGCGACGACGGGUAGCCGGCCUGAGAGGGCGACCGGCCACACUGGGACGGGGACACGGCCCAGACUCCGACGGGAGGAAGCAGUGGGGAAUAUUGCGCAAUGGGGGAAAGCCUGACGCAGCAACGCCGCGUGAGGGAUGACGGCCUUCGGGUUGUAAACCUCUUGCAGCAGGGAAGAAGCGAAAGUGACGGUACCUGCAGAAGAAGCACCGGCUAACUACGUGCCAGCAGCCGCAGUAA